rnacentral:rRNA from 1 species
GACAGAGGCCCCAAGCGUUAGGCGGAAUCACUGGGCUUAAAGCGUGUGUAGGCGGAUCGUUAAGUGUCUUGUGAAAUCCCACGGCUCACCCGUGGAACUGCGUGGCAUACUGGCGAUCUUGGGCCAACUAGGGGCAGUCGGAACAAGCGGUGGAGCGGUGAAAUGCGUAGAUAUCGCUUGGAACGCCGAAGGUGAAAACAGACUGCUGGGGUUGCGCCGACGCUGAGACACGAAAGCCAGGGGAGCAAACGGG